GAUGAAGAACGUAGCGAAAUGCGAUACUUGGUGUGAAUUGCAGAAUCCCGUGAACCAUCGAGUCUUUGAACGCAAGUUGCGCCCGAAGCCAUCAGGUUGAGGGCACGUCUGCCUGGGCGUCACAUAUCGUUGCCCAAUGCCUAUUGCAGUGCAAUAGGAAUUUCUAGGGCGAAUGAUGGAUUCCCGUGAGCGUUGUUGCCUCGCGGUUGGUUGAAAAUCGAGUCCUUGGUAGGGUGUGCCAUGGUAGAUGGUGGUCGAGUUAGAACGAUACCGAUCAUGUGCAUGCUCCCCAAAAUAUGGCCUCUAUGACCCACACGCGUCUUUUGACGCUCAUGACGAGACCUCAGGUCAGGCGGGGCUACCCGCUGAAUUUAAGCAUAUCAAUAAGCGGAGGA
rnacentral:misc_RNA from 1 species